CGGCGGGGGUUGUUCCGGCAGCCUUUCACUGAGGCCACCCGCCAGUUUCAAAUUCAGUGGCGUUUGCCCUGAUUCCCGGGGCCUGGCUUUCAGCGUAGCAAUUCUGCCGGCGAAGAAGGUGAGCGCAGUGCUGUGUGGCAGCAGAGGUCCUUAGGACGAGGAACAGCGGGACGAGGAAGGGCAGACUGGUGAAAUCGCAAACUGGGCGUCUGUUCCGGCACCGGACCCCUGUUUGCAAAGGUCCAUGGCUAAUGAAACACAGAAGGUUGGUGCCAUCCAUUUUCCUUUUCCCUUCACACCCUAUUCCAUCCAGGAAGACUUCAUGGCAGAGCUGUACCGGGUUUUGGAGGCUGGCAAGAUUGGGAUAUUUGAGAGUCCAACUGGCACUGGGAAGUCCUUAAGUCUUAUUUGUGGGGCCCUCUCCUGGCUCCGUGACUUUGAACAGAAGAAGCGUGAAGAAGAGGCACGACUCCUUGAAACUGGAACUGGCCCCUUACAUGAUGAGAAAGAUGAAUCCCUGUGUCUGUCUUCCUCCUGCGAAGGGGCUGCAGGCACCCCGAGGCCUGCUGGAGAACCGGCCUGGGUUACUCAGUUUGUGCAGAAGAAAGAAGAGAGGGACCUGGUGGACCGACUGAAGGUGGAGCAGGCCAGGAGGAAGCAGCGAGAAGAACGCCUGCAGCAGCUGCAGCACAGGGUGCAGCUCAAGUAUGCAGCCAAGCGCCUGAGGCAGGAAGAAGAAGAAACAGAGAAUCUCCUCCGCCUCAGCAGGGAGAUGCUAGAGACAGGCCCGGAGGCCGAGCGGCUGGAGCAGCUGGAGUCUGGGGAGGAGGAGCUGGUCCUCGCCGAAUACGAGAGUGAUGAGGAGAAAAAGGUGGCGAGCGGAGUGGAUGAGGAUGAGGAUGACCUGGAGGAAGAACACAUAACUAAGAUUUAUCACUGUAGUCGGACACACUCCCAGCUGGCCCAGUUUGUGCAUGAGGUGAAGAAGAGCCCCUUUGGCAAGGAUGUUCGGCUGGUCUCCCUCGGCUCCCGGCAGAACCUUUGUGUAAAUGAAGACGUGAGAAGCCUAGGUUCUGUGCAGCUUAUCAACGACCGCUGCGUGGACAUGCAGAGAAGCAGAGAAGAAGAAAGGAGCUGAGGAGGAGAAGCCAAAGAGGAGGAGGCAGGAGAAGCAGGCAGCCUGCCCCUUCUACAACCACGAGCAGAUGGGCCUUCUCCGGGAUGAGGCCCUGGCAGAGGUGAAGGACAUGGAGCAGCUGCUGGCCCUUGGGAAGGAGGCCCGGGCCUGUCCCUAUUACAGGAGCCGCCUUGCCAUCCCUGCAGCCAAGCUGGUGGUGCUGCCCUAUCAGAUGCUGCUGCAUGCGGCCACUCGGCAGGCCGCCGGCAUCCGGCUGCAGGACCAGGUGGUGAUCAUCGACGAGGCGCACAACCUGAUCGACACCAUCACGGGCAUGCACAGCGUGGAGGUCAGCGGCUCCCAGCUCUGCCAGGCCCAUUCCCAGCUGCUGCAGUACAUGGAGCGAUACGGGAAGCGUUUGAAGGCCAAGAACCUGAUGUACCUGAAGCAGAUCCUGUAUUUGCUGGAGAAAUUCGUGGCUGUGCUAGGGGGGAACAUUAAGCAAAAUCCCAAUACACAGAGUCUGUCACAGACAGGGACGGAGCUGAAGACCAUCAACGACUUUCUCUUCCAGAGCCAGAUCGACAACAUCAACCUGUUCAAGGUGCAGCGAUACUGUGAGAAGAGCAUGAUCAGCAGAAAGCUCUUUGGCUUCACUGAACGGUACGGAGCAGUGUUCUCAUCCCGGGAGCAGCCCAAACUGGCUGGGUUUCAGCAAUUCCUGCAGAGCCUGCAGCCCAGGACGACUGAAGCUCUUGCAGCCCCUGCAGACGAGAGUCAGGCCAGCGUCCCGCAACCAGCUUCCCCACUAAUGCACAUCGAAGGCUUCCUGGCAGCUCUCACUACGGCCAACCAGGACGGCAGGGUCAUCCUGAGCCGCCAAGGCAGCCUCAGUGAGAGCACCCUGAAGUUUUUGCUCCUGAAUCCAGCUGUGCACUUUGCCCAAGUGGUGAAGGAAUGCCGGGCAGUGGUCAUUGCGGGGGGGACCAUGCAGCCGGCCAGACUUCUCGCUUCCUUUCUGCUGGGCCUCUGAGGGGUCAUGGGGCCAUGACGCCGUGGCCUUGGUCUACAGGUGUCUGACUUCCGGCAGCAGCUGCUGGCCUGUGCUGGGGUGGAAGCUGAGCGCGUGGUGGAGUUUUCCUGUGGUCACGUGAUCCCUCCAGACAACAUCUGCCCCUUGUCAUCUGCAGCGGGAUCUCCAACCAGCCGCUGGAAUUCACCUUCCAGAAAAGAGACCUGCCUCAGAUGAUGGACGAGGUGGGUCGCAUCCUCUGUAACCUGUGCGGUGUGGUUUCUGGAGGGGUGGUCUGUUUCUUCUCCUCCUACGAGUACCUGCGCCAGGUCCAUGCCCACUGGGAGAAGGGUGGCCUGCUGGGCCGUCUGGCUGCCAGGAAGAAGUUUCACCGGGAGAAGUCGGCCUCUUCCUGAUGGGCAACCACACCACCGCCCGGCGCCGUGCCCUUCCUUUGUCCUGCCCUCUGGAGACAGUGUUUGUCGUGGGCGUGGUCUGCAGGGAUCCUGUUACAAAGGUGAAACCCAGGAGGAGAGUGUGGAGUCCAGAGCGCUGCCGGGACCCAGGCACAGGCGUUAGCUCCCGUAGGAGAAAAUGCGGGAAUCCUGAAUGAACAGUGGGUCCUGGCUGUCCUUGGGGCGUUCCAGGGCAGCUCCCCUCCUGGAAUAGAAUCUUUCUUUCCAUCCUGCAUGGCUGAGAGCCAGGCUUCCUGCUUGGAGUCCGCAGGAGGCUGUGGCAGCAGUGGCAUCCACUGUGGCAUCUCCGUCCUGCCCACCUUAAGAGGCGAGAUGGAGCAGGUCCAUCUGCCUCUGCCCUUUCUAGCCAAGGUUAUAGCUGCCCUGGACUGCUCACUCUCUGGUCUCAAUUUAAAAUGAUCCCGUGGCCACAGGGCUCCUGCCCAGGGGCUUGUCACCUUCCCCUCCUCCUUCCUGAGUCACUCCUUCAGUAGAAGGCCCUGCUCUCUAUCCUGCCCCACAGCCCUGCCUGGAUUUGUAUCCUUGGCUUCGUGCCAGUUCCUCCAAGUCUAUGGCACCUCCCUCCCUCUCAACCACUUGAGCAAACUCCAAGACACCUUCUACCCCGACACCAGCAAUUAUGCCAAGGGCCAUUAGGCUCUCAACAUGACUAUAGAGACCCCGUAUCAUCAUGGAGACCUUUGUUCCUGUGGGAAAAUAACCCUCCCACCUGCAACAGCUGCCCCUGCUGACUGCGCCUGUCUUCUCCCUCUGACCCCAGAGAAAGGGGCCGUGGUCAGCUGGGAUCUUCUGCCACCAUCAGGGACAAACCGGGGGCAGGAGGAAAGUCACUGAUGCCCAGCUGUUUGCAUCCUGCACAGCUACAGGUCCUUAAUUAAAAGUGUACUGUUGGUU